rnacentral:rRNA from 1 species
AAUGAACGUUGGCGGCAUGGAUUAGGCAUGCAAGUCGAGCGCGAUAGAACUGGUGGUAACAUUAGUUCUUGAAAGCGGCGAAAGGGAGAGUAAUACGUAGGGUAUCUGCCCCCGGGACUGGGAUAGCGGCGGGAAACUGCCGGUAAUACCAGAUAAUGUCUCCGGACCAAAGGUGUGAUUCCACCUGGGGAUGAUCCUGCGUCCUAUUAGCUAGUUGGUGAGGUAAUGGCUCACCAAGGCGAAGAUGGGUAGCGGGCGUGAGAGCGUGGCCCGUCUCACUGGGACUGAGACACUGCCCAGACACCUACGGGUGGCUGCAGUCGAGAAUCUUCCGCAAUGGGCGAAAGCCUGACGGAGCGAUGCCGCGUGCGGGAUGAAGGCCUUCGGGUUGUAAACCGCUGUCAGUGGGGUGGAAAUUAGGAGGGGUUCUCCCCUUUUAUUGACCUAACCGCAGAGGAAGUCCGGGCUAAGUACGUGCCAGCCGCCGCAGUAACAC